GGGGCUUUCGGGUUUCGGCGCGACUUUCCAGGCGGGUCGCCCCCGUCUUCGUUUCUUCUUUCUCAAUCAUCGGACGCGCAUCGGCGCGUCGACGGCGCGCUAGCGUCGGCGGCGGCGUUGCGCUAAGGAAGCCCGCUUCGAGGCUGCGGCCUUGGGGGCCGGUAGCUCAGGUGGUUAGAGCGCACGCCUGAUAAGCGUGAGGUCGGUGGUUCAAGUCCACCUCGGCCCACCAUGCCGCGCAGCGUCGGAUCGGGGCCAUAGCUCAGUUGGGAGAGCGGUAGCUUUGCAAGCUUCAGGUCGCCGGUUCGAUCCCGGCUGGCUCCACCAUGCGCCGUGAAAGAGCUUUGUUUUCGUGCGGUUCGGUCCUGUAGGGGCGCGGAUCGCGCGGUUUCGACAUUGUGAAGGAGGGUCUGUCUGGCCUCGACCGACAUCGAGGUUUUACGGGCGAACUUUGACGAACAUCGUCUGACUUGGCGCUCAUGAUGUGUGUGAGUGCGUCUGGCUUGUCCUUUGGGGCGGGCGGGGCGUUCACCGCGCAUGGGCGCUCAAUGAGGAUCAAGCGUCUAAGGGCGUUCGGAGGAUGCCUUGGCGCGCAGAGGCGAUGAAGGACGUGGCACGCUGCGAUAAGCCGCGAGGAGGUGCGAGCAACCUUUGAUCCGCGGAUGU
rnacentral:misc_RNA from 1 species